AUUGAACGCUGGCGGCAGGCUUAACACAUGCAAGUCGAACGAAGCCUUCGGGCUUAGUGGCGGACGGGUGAGUAACACGUGGGAACGUACCUUUUGGUUCGGAACAACUCAGGGAAACUUGAGCUAAUACCGGAUGAGCCCUUAGGGGGAAAGAUUUACCGCCGAAAGAGCGGCCCGCGUUAGAUUAGCUAGUUGGUGAGGUAAAGUCUCACCAAGGCUACGAUCUAUAGCUGGUCUGAGAGGAUGAUCAGCCACACUGGGACUGAGACACGGCCCAGACUCCUACGGGAGGCAGCAGUGAGGAAUCUUGCGCAAUGGGCGAAAGCCUGACGCAGCCAUGCCGCGUGAAUGAUGAAGGUCUUAGGAUUGUAAAAUUCUUUUACCAGGGACGAUAAUGACGGUACCUGGAGAAAAAGCCCCGGCUAACUUCGUGCCAGCCGCCGCGGUAA
rnacentral:rRNA from 1 species